rnacentral:rRNA from 1 species
AGACCCGAAACCCGGUGAUCUAGCCAUGGGCAGGUUGAAGGUUGGGUAACACUAACUGGAGGACCGAACCGACUAAUGUUGAAAAAUUAGCGGAUGACCUGUGGCUGGGGGUGAAAGGCCAAUCAAACCGGGAGAUAGCUGGUUCUCCCCGAAAGCUAUUUAGGUAGCGCCUCGUGAAUUCAUCUCCGGGGGUAGAGCACUGUUUCGGCUAGGGGGCCAUCCCGGCUUACCAACCCGAUGCAAACUGCGAAUACCGGAGAAUGUUAUCACGGGAGACACACGGCGGGUGCUAACGUCCGUCGUGAAGAGGGAAACAACCCAGACCGCCAGCUAAGGUCCCAAAGUCAUGGUUAAGUGGGAAACGAUGUGGGAAGGCCCAGACAGCCAGGAUGUUGGCUUAGAAGCAGCCAUCAUUUAAAGAAAGCGUAAUAGCUCACUGGUCGAGUCGGCCUGCGCGGAAGAUGUAACGGGGCUAAACCAUGCACCGAAGCUGCGGCAGCGACACUGUGUGUUGUUGGGUAGGGGAGCGUUCUGUAAGCCUGCGAAGGUGGCCUGUGAGGGUUGCUGGAGGUAUCAGAAGUGCGAAUGCUGACAUAAGUAACGAUAAAGCGGGUGAAAAGCCCGCUCGCCGGAAGACCAAGGGUUCCUGUCCAACGUUAAUCGGGGCAGGGUGAGUCGACCCCUAAGGCGAGGCCGAAAGGCGUAGUCGAUGGGAAACGGGUUAAUAUUCCCGUACUUGGUGUUACUGCGAAGGGGGGACGGAGAAGGCUAUGUUGGCCGGGCGACGGUUGUCCCGGUUUAAG